rnacentral:rRNA from 1 species
UACGGAGGGUGCGAGCGUUGUCCGGAAUCACUGGGCGUAAAGGGCGCGUAGGCGGCCUGAUAAGUAGGGGGUGAAAUCCUGCGGCUUAACCGCAGGGCUGCCUUCUAAACUGUCAGGCUGGAGCACAGUAGAGGCAGGUGGAAUUCCCGGUGUAGCGGUGGAAUGCGCAGAUAUCAGGAGGAACACCAAUGGCGAAGGCAGCUCGCUGGAACGGUACUGACGCUGAGGCGCGAAAGCGUGGGGAGCGAACAGG